GGAUCUUUAGCUCAAAUGGUAGAGCACUUGAGAAUGGCUCAAGCGAUGGUGAUUCAAAUCCUCCAAGGUCCU
rnacentral:tRNA from 1 species